GGAGUCACAGAGAUACGCAUUGAGAUUCCCUUGUUGGCUGGUUGUCAGGGUUGUACAAAGACUCAAGAGUGUGACUGACUGUGGGGAUUAAAGGAAGGAUUUAUUUCAAACAAAAAUGUAGUUCUCUGAGUGGUACCCGACUGUACAGUAAACUUUUUUUGCAACAGCUCGGCUUUUUUCCAUGCUUUCGUAAGCUGGGUAUUUGACAUUUGUGUUUCUUACAACUGGUCAUGCACAUUUGAACCUUAUUAUUUAGAUUGUGGGGACGGCGCGGAUCGGCAGGAUUGAACGAGUUGUAAAAACAAUGAAGAAUGUUCUCCAUGCCUUCCAUUAUGGUACUGCUUCCAUUAGGUCAAUAAUUAUAGGUCGUCGUGUUUGUUGGUUAACCAAUUAUUUUGUUGGGUAAGAAGUUCAACCUGGUUCAAUUCUUCAUUGAGCCUUCCAUCAAU